GGUCGCAUUAAGACGAGAAGGGCAGAGUCUGCUAGGUUAUAAAUACCGGCUCCUUGCAGGGAAAGCAGAGCAGCAAAGACAAUUGUAGUCGACGAUUGCCCUCUUCAAGUGUACUUCUAGUCCUGUUUGUGUGAGAGAGAGAGAGACAGCAAGAGAAAGAGCUGAUGGCAGGAAAGAAAGCAUCCUCCACUUCGAAAGAGGCAGGCCUCAGCGGCAAGUCCUCCUCCGCUGGCGACUUCAGCAUCGUCUUCUCUCCCGCUCCCAUGGCGAUGGCUAAGGAUGUGCCAGUCAGACUUGUACUGGCCUUUGAACAACCAAAGAACUGAAUCGAACAAUGGAAGCGUUCAGAGAGUGCUGCAGAUAACAAAAGGCAGGGCAGCACAAGCAAAAGCAAAAAGGAAGGAAUUUAUCCUACUGAGUCAGCAGAAUCCGCCUAUCUUGGAUCAUCUGUGCACUGUGGUGGUCGAGAUUUCUAUACAACCUCUGCAGCCAUCAACACUUCUGUGAAUCCUGAGAACGCAAGUGAGUUUCUUUACAUACUAGAAUAAGAAAAAGGGUUUUCCUGGUUUGCCUUGUAAUGGAAUAACUUCUUAACAUAAAUCAUUUUGCCACUUUUUUCGGGAGAAUUAUGAGCAUAAGACUUAUGGAGAGGGUGACUCCGACAACUCAAACAAUGCUACAAGAGGUAAAUGGUGGCAAGGUAAUAUAUCUCUGUAAGAAGGCUUUCUUAUCUAAAUGGAAUGCGUUACACAGGACAUUUCAUUAGUUUCAUCCAACUAUUCCUCUCUCAAGUUCGCUUUACUACUGAAUUGAAGAAUCUGUCCAGAGAAGUAUCAUCUUGCAUUUUAGGAAGGGAAAGGUAAUUUGAAGUUGUCGGCCUGGAUUUAAUUCUGCAUCAACCUUACUAUGAUCU